GAUUACUCAGUGGAUUGGUGGAAGGAGCCGUGGCAUGGUCGGAGAUGCACGCCCUCGGAUAGCAACUAGACAUCAUUCGUACAAUAUGAUUCCACAGUGGAUUCCAACAUGGAGAAUGGUCCACAUUUGGGCUAUCUUGAUGCACUGUUUGGUUGUACCGUUACAAAUAUAAAUUUUACAAGGGGUUUUAGUGACGGACUGUAGUGGCAAGUGAUCAUUCCA
rnacentral:lncRNA from 1 species